rnacentral:rRNA from 1 species
AUUGAACGCUAGCGGGAUGCUUUACACAUGCAAGUCGAACGAGUGGCGGACGGGUGAGUAACAUAUCGGAACGUGCCAAGUAGCGGGGGAUAAUUACUCGAAACGGAGGCUAAUACCGCAUACUAGUCGAUCGGCCGAUAUCGGAUUAGCUAGUUGGUGGGGUAAAGGCUCACCACGGACACGAUCCGUAGCUGGUUUGAGAGGAGGAACAGCCAGACUGGAACUGAGACACGGUCCAGACUCCUACGGUAGGCAGCAGUGGGGAAUUUUGUACAAUGGGCGAAACCCUGAUCCAGCCAUCCCGCGUGUAUGAGAAGGCCUUCGGGUUGUAAAGUACUUUUGGCAGAGAAGCGGUACCUGCAGAAUAAGCACCGGCUAACUACGUGCCAGCAGCCGCGGUAAUAC